UCAGGUACAACAUCAUCAAUUGAUACUCUAACAUUGAGAGAUGCCAUCGGAAUAUUAUGAAUCAUAUUAACACCCUGACUAUUUGACGGGAAUACAGUCCCCCUUGCCACAACAACUCUUCCUUUCUCUACGUGUAUCACCCAAAGACAACAAAGUGUUGGAUUCUGCAUUAAGUUCGAGCCAAAGAUAUUACUCACAAUCCAUAUACAUAUUUAUAUAUAUGCAGGUUAGAGUGAGUUACCAAUUCAGGAUACCAUUUUCAUUUACCAUCCGUACAACCAUACAUGUGUUUCACGAAUUGUUACAAAGUAAACUAGCUUACCAUCAUUAUCUGCCUAAGUAUUCAUAUAUGGAGUAAUAACUAUUAUACAAAUAGGAGUCAAAGCAAAGCUUUUACAAGCUAACGUAUUGUAUCCUAAACAAAUGCAUCAGAAUUAAACUAUGAAAUAUACAUCAGCCUUAAAUCUGAUAUUUACCCUGACUAUUAAGGUGUAACCAGAACAAUGUUCUACUUCAAAAGGCUAGAAUACUUCAUGAUUGCUAUUUAACAAAUAACUGAGGAUGAACUUUUAAAUCAAAUCUUAACAUUUGUCCACAUAUAUACAAGUUUAUAUAUAACAGCUAAGAACCCUUUAGGCUAGUCAUACAUGAGGAAUUGAUGAUUGAAUAGCAUAUUCAUCUAGAGGUAUACCAAUAACAUGUCAGUAGGGUAAGAAAGGUAGUGCAAAAAACAGUAGUUUUAUGUUAUAUACCUUGACAUUUGUGAAAUGAUCUUCCCGAUAUACCGACUGGCAACUGCUUCGAACAUUUUCAUUGUUCGGUGUACCAACAUCAUUUACAAAAUGAUCAUCAGGGAUUUUCACACCCAUCUGGUUCAACUGAUUAAAUAUACUUUCUAGCUUUGAAUUCACCACUUCAUUCAUCCUCACCAUUUCAUUCAUCCUCUCCUCGCACUCCUUUUGAACUUUCUUAGUGAUUUCUUGUGUAAUCGUGGCCAACU
rnacentral:lncRNA from 1 species